AAUCAAGGUAAACCUUGAGGGAGAAAAGAAAGAGUGGAUAAAAAGCAGUAGAAGGGAUGGGAAUGUGUUAAAAGGAGUGAAUGCUAAUUAGCUGUAUGCUCUUCCUUCCUCUCAGCCAGCCAUCUGGGCAACAAGAAAGGCUUGCUAAAGUUAAAUAAAUUUAACCCCUUAUCUGACCUGGCAAGGACAAAGUACACUGGCUUCUGAAGAAACUUUUUCUUGGGAGCAAGAUAAACUUUGUCCCAUGUAAAGAGGAAAACUACAUAGAUAUUCAUGGAGAUUAUCUGAUUUGUCACUGUUGCCAAAGAAAAAACAAAGGUAAAAUACAUGAAUUUCUGCAUUCAGAAGAAAGUACUUCAGGUAAAAAUUAACUAUUAAGCAACUUUUCUCAACAGAAGAAAUGCCCAAAUUCUUAAGGACAGCCAAGUUGUGAGUCAGAGAGCUAGUGUUAAAACAGGUAUUUUUAAAUACAUGUAUGAAUUACCUCCUUACAUUACUUUAUUCUUGUGUUUUUAGCAACUGCCAAAAACAAUUACAAGAAAUGAAAUAAUGUCCUGAGCUGCCACAUGAUAUUUUUUAAAAUCUGCAAUUUUAUUCUUGACAAGUAACAUACACUACAUGCUUUUGUGUGCAAGUAAUGCUCAGAUGUUUGAUAACGGAGUGAUCUUAAAGAGGAGGCAUCUGUUUUUUGUUUUUAUAAGUAGUUCAUUGCCUAACUACCGAAAAUAGCUGCAGUUAUUUUAAACAGAUGGUCCCAAGUUAAUAGGGAAGAAAGUAGAAGUGAGUCUAUUUCCCCAGUUUUUAUUUUUACCCCACAAGAAUGGUAAAAAUAAUUAACAGUAUAUAAUUUGAACCAAAUUCUGUCAAAAUGCUUUUUUCUAAGGUACUCUUUCUGAGAGAGGGGGUUUGUAAAUUGAAGUAUUUGAUGUGGUAGAGUUGAAAGCCAGUUUAAUGCUUAAAUUUCUACUUUCUGAUAGCGUUCAUCAAAAUGAUUGCUGCAUUGUUGAAACAGAGCUUUUGAUUUUUAAAAGACAAUUAGAUUGUGGUAAGAUAUUUGAAACCCACUAAAACUGACUUCAAAAAUUUGGAAGUCUUAAGAGGGUGGUAAGUGGUGAUGGUGACAUGUUAAGAGUAGGAUCUUGCCAGAUGAUGAGAAAGAAUAUGGGUUGAUGACAUUAAUAUGUUUGUGAUUUCUGAAUUCCUCAGGAGUCCUAAGUUAAUAGUUGAUAACCUACUCUCUAGUUUCUGACACUGAAGAUAAUGAAUAUUUUCAUAAUGCAACAACGAAUUUGUGUUUAUAAGGGACUCUGAAGAAUGCGUUUGUGUGGUAUACAGAUGCUGUUACUAUACCUCAGUUUGAGCAGAUUACAGUAGUAAGCUGGGCCCAACUACUAUUGUAUAUCGCUCUCCAUCUGUAAAGAAGAUGAAUAGGUGAAGUUUUUCACUUCUGAAAUACUAGGUUGUUAAAGCUUACUAGGUUGUUAAAGCUUACUGAGAUUUUUACUUUCUGUUAGUGAUAGCUGUACCUUUUUCAUGUCUAUGGGCUAUAUUUCCAUGUAUAUGUCCACAAAGUAUCUGCAGUUCUUUGAUUUUGAAUUUUGCAUUUUCUUUACUGUUUCAGUGACUACGCACAACUGGUAGCUCUUGGGCAUUUGUGGACUGUGGGCUGUAAGCCUGCCUACAUAGAAUCUUUCAGUUUUGCUUCUGUCCAAAUUUGUCUACAUGAUAAAUACCAGACUGGCUCAUAUGAAAUGAUAAAAUCGUAGACCAGGGGUAGCAAACUAUGGCCUGUGGGCCUGAUACUGUUUAAGAAGGUUCUUCACAUUUACAAAGGUUUUUUUAAAAAAAAAAAAA